CUCAAACUCACCUUUGUGGUUCUCUUACCCACUCCCUCGCCCCCACCCUCCUAUCCACCCAUCUGCCCCACUGACUCAUCACUAACCCUCCUCCUGCAGCUUCAGUGGUGGACGCUGCUGCUACUUUCCCGCAGGCCGUUCCAGGACUGUGCAGUUCUCGGAACAGGCUGGUGUCCCUGUGCUGUCUACCGUCACAUUCUGGGUGGAGUCUCGGCUCAGCAACUGGACCAUGAAGUCUCUGGAGAUAUCCCUGUACCUGUCUGAGUGGAUCAAGUUUAACCCUCCUCUGGGAGACAUCAAAGCGUCUCGUAUAGACGGGCAGUUACGCCUGGAUUGGAACAUUACCGAAGAGGUUCCAGCUGAGGUGCAGUUCAGGCGCCGGACGCCCACAACUAAUUGGACAUUGGGUGACUGUGGACCCCAGGAUAUCUCUGACUUAGGUAUGACUGAAGACAUUCAUGGCAGCAUUUCUGAGUCCUGCCUCUGCCCUUUAGAGGACAUGGCCCAGGAGCUCCAGAUACGGCGGCGACGGCAGCUCUCCUCGGGGGCUCCUGGAGGCCCCUGGAGUAGUUGGAGUGCUCCUGUGUGUGUUCCACCUGAACGCUUCCCCCAGCCUGAGGUCAAGUUCCUGGUGGAGCCGCUGGGUCAAGGUGGAAGGCGGCGUCUGACCAUGCAAUGCCAGACGCCGCAACCAGCUGUCCCUGAGGGCUGCCUGGAAGUCAGGCCUGGUGCUCUGGUGAAGCACUUGGUGCGUGUGCACAUGUUGUCCUGCGCGUGCCAGCCUCAGAACCGGAAGACCAUGUCCAUAGGCAAGCCGCUGAACCUCUCCGGGGCUGCCUACAACUUGGUUGUACUCACCAGGACUCGUUUUGGCCGCAGCCCCUACCAGAUGUGGCACCUUCCUGCCCAAGAACUCACAGGUGCCUGGGGCCCAGGGGCAGAACAUGAGGGCGGCGGGUUCCUUCGU
rnacentral:lncRNA from 1 species